UAGUGAGUUUGAUCCUGGCUCAGGAUGAACGCUAGCGGCAGGCCUAAUACAUGCAAGUCGAACGGAUGUCAGCAAUGGCAUUAGUGGCGCACGGGUGCGUAACGCGUAGGCAAUCUGCCUAUCUCUGGGGGAUAGCCCGCCGAAAGGGGGAUUAAUACCGCAUAACACCACAACACGGCAUCGUGUCAUGGUUAAAGAAUUUCGGAGAUAGAUGAGCCUGCGUGCCAUUAGCUAGUUGGUAAGGUAACGGCUUACCAAGGGCGACGAUGGGCUAGGGGAGCUGAGAGGCCCGAUCCCCCACACUGGGCACUGA
rnacentral:rRNA from 1 species